rnacentral:lncRNA from 1 species
AAAGAAGGAAAGGAAAGAUGAAGAAUGUAGGAACUCUUCAAGCUUUUGGUAAGGAAAAUCUUGGUAUUUUCACAUACAUUCUAUGGAGCAUUUCUAGAAAAACUAAUUUAAAAUAUUUCAUGAUUGAUGUGAAAUAGUAAUUGCGUGUUUAGUAGAUUUUUAAGUUGUAAAUUAAAUUGUUAAAUGAUGUGGCUAUGAUGGAAUAUUAAUGAUGCAUGAAAUGUCAUAAUAUUUGCAUUAAGAUGCAUGAAUAUAUUAUGAAAAUGGACAUGUAGGUCAACAAUGUCAUAUCUAUGUAUGACAUUUACAAUGAUAUAAUCUGUUAGACUAUUAUCUCUUAAGGGUUCUGUUUUUCUCCCAUCUGGUAUGAAAAGACAUGAGAGGACCGCUCCCUGUAGAUGACAGCAAACCCUAUGAUGAGAGUGGUUAUGCGAUAUGAUUGUAGGGCCACUGUGGCUAUGUACGACUAUGGCUAUUGAUUACAUAUAAGACCACUUUGGUUGGCACGACCAUGAUCGUUGAGCAUGUCAUGGUUUCACAAGCCGUAAAUGUGCUGAGAUGAACAGAACUUUAUCAUUCUAUAGUGGUAGCUAGAAUCCGUAUUACUAUCAGUAGAUUGCGCGAAGAAUAGGUAAAAAAUGAAACAAGAAGUCAUGGCAUGAUUUAUAUUUGUUUGAUUUUCUCUAUUCUUUGCAUGAUUGAUAUAAAUGUCUUAAUGUUAACGAUUUUCUAAACAAAAUAAAAAUAUUUUAUUUAUCAUUGAAAUGAACUCACAUACAACGAUCUUCGAUGCAAAGCGGUCAACGGUAUAUUUCUUUAAAGUUUAGGCACAUUUAAAAUUUUAGUAAUGUCGUUUAAAUACUAUUUUUCUUAAUGAGUUUAUGG